CUAAGAAUCUUCCGCAAUGGGGGAAACCCUGACGGAGCGACGCCGCGUGGGCGAAGAAGGCCGGAAGGUUGUAAAGUCCUUUUCCUGGGGGAGAAUAACGGCCGGAGGGAAUGCCGGUCAGAUGACGUGAACCAGGGAAUAAGCCCCGGCUAAUUACGUGCCAGCAGCCGCGGUAACACGUAAGGGGCGAGCGUUGUUCGGAUUUAUUGGGCGUAAAGGGCGUGUAGGCGGUAGUAAAAGUCUGGUGUGAAAUACCUCGGCUCAACCGAGGGGCCGCGCUGGAAACUGUGCUGCUAGAGUUUAGGAGGGGGAGCUGGAAUUCCUGGUGUAGGGGUGAAAUCUGUAGAGAUCAGGAAGAACACCGGAGGCGAAGGCGAGCUCCUGGCCAUAGACUGACGCUGAGGCGCGAAAGCGUGGGGAGCGAACAGG
rnacentral:rRNA from 1 species